GCAGGGAUAUGUUGUUACACCAGAUUAUAAUUCAUUUUUGUUUUUUGUGUUUUUAUAUAUAUAUAGAUAUAUAUGUAUAUUUGUUUUUAUUAUUAAUUGUUUUGGGGCAUUUUAUUUUGAAAAUGUUGCAUGCUUUUAUUAAAUAUAGUAUGUACGUCGGCUGAUGUCAUACGUAGGUAAGGCGUUCAAAACGCAGCGCAAUCGGAAGUUCGUCCUCUUUGCUUCAAUGCCAUCAGAGAGGAGAGGCAUAAUUAAGAGCUGUUGCAGAUAACAGUGCCUGUCUGUUUGCUUGUUUUACUACACAGAGAGGAGAGGCAUAAUUAAGAGCUGUUGCAGAUAACAGUGCCUGUCUGUUUGCUUGUUUUACUACACAGGCACUACAAUUAAAUCCUCAUCAGUUAAAAACCA